AUGUCGUCUGCCUCUACGCCCACGCCCACGGCCGUGGCGCGGCCGGCCGGGAGGUACGCCGUGUACGUCGCGGCCGUGCCGCUGAGGGGCCCUCAGGGUCCGGCCCAGGCCCUGAUGUCUUCGGCCUACUCGCUGGGUCUGUGGGACCUUCAGCACUUCAUGGUGCUCCUCCGGCCCGACCCUGCCCGAACCCGAACCCAGGUGCAGGAGCCGGAGCCGUCGUUGGUGUUCGAUUUCCAGCCUCUCGACCCGGAGGAUGCUCUCGCCGCCUUCUCCGUGCUCUCGCGGAGCAAAAUACCGGGGGUGGUUCGGAGGAGAACGCUGCGGCGGAUCCCUGACAGGAGGAGCUGGUUCGUCGGCCUCAGCGACGGCGGCGCCGCCGACGCCGCCGAGAGGUUCAGCGAGCGAUGGCCGACCGACCUGGUCGUCGGGAACCACGACUGCCGAGACUACACCAACGGGCUGGUGGAAGUCUUGACAGGACAAAAACGCGUCCUCGACUCGCUGAGAUCAGCAGGCCGCCAAUGA
rnacentral:rRNA from 1 species